UACGUAGGGGGCGAGCGUUAUCCGGAUUUACUGGGCGUAAAGGGAGCGUAGGCGGACUUUUAAGUGAGAUGUGAAAUACUCGGGCUCAACUUGAGUGCUGCAUUUCAAACUGGAAGUCUAGAGUGCAGGAGAGGAGAAUGGAAUUCCUAGUGUAGCGGUGAAAUGCGUAGAGAUUAGGAAGAACACCAGUGGCGAAGGCGAUUCUCUGGACUGUAACUGACGCUGAGGCUCGAAAGCGUGGGGAGCAAACAGG
rnacentral:rRNA from 1 species